ensembl:lncRNA
CCAUUUUCAGGGCGCGUCCAUCGCAAAUCCGGCGAAAUACCCCGAUUUAGGUUAUGCUUGUUUCCGUGGCCGAGAAGGGUGUGCGGUUCUUUCGCUUGUCACCUCUCCCCAACUGAUGAGAGCCAGGAUAGGUUGGUAGGCCAGGAACCUCAGUUUUAGUCUCAGUAAAAUGGCAGCUCAAGAUAGUUUUGAAGUUGGAGCUUGAUGAGGGUGAAGAACCCAAUUCUGAGUAGCCCCUUGCCUAUGAAGCCCCACUUCUGAGAACAUCAGAAUUGUCCCCUAAACCUCUUUCAAGAUGGCAAAGUCUUAUGGGAGUCUAAACUACCAAAUUAGUUGCGGUAUUUCCUGGAGUCAACAUUUAUUGAGCAGCAUUAGGGGCUAGAACAGAAAACAGCUGAAGAGGCCUCUGCCAAAUUGGACCUGUUUAUGACAAGUAAAAUUGAAUAAUGUGGAAGCACACCUAAAAUGCCUGCGUGUGGGAGGCUGAAACAUGAACCACUACAAGUUUGAAGUCAACAUGGAUGUCAUGGAAAGACCAUGUCCAAUGUAAAUAAAUAAAAGCAGAUAACAAUUAAUUUGUCUUAAAU